rnacentral:lncRNA from 1 species
GAAGAUUGAAUGACUGAUUCAAGGGUCAGAAAAAUGAAAACAAGGACAAUAUGACAAAAGCAAAGGAAAAUAAGCAUGUACCUAAUUAAUAACUACUUGUAAUUUGAUAGAAAUGUGAUUAGUGAAGUGGGGCCUAGGCCAAGGGUGUGGAGAGUUUAUACUAGGAAAAAGACAAGGAAUGAAAGAUGAUGACGUGGCUGUGAACGCAUGAGAGUGGCUAUAGAUAGCUAUUGUUGGAAGGGAAUAAUCAGGAAGGAAUUCAUUUAGGAUUUGGUGGGGUCGCCUCUGGGUGAUUUGGGAGCACUGCGUGCUUAGGAAUUGGUUGCUAUUACCAGUUUGUUAUUUUUCUUUUAUCUUCCUGUAAUUGUGGAUCUCACAGCAAUACCAUUGCAGUUUCAUUACUCAUAUUACACUGUUAUAUCCAUUUUAUCACUAUUUUUGUGCAUUAAGACCCAUCAAUUGGUCCGACCUGCCGGAUCAAUCUCACACAAUGAAGAAGAUUGUAGAUGUCAAGGAAGCCUAAGAUGAGUGACCGAGUUGACGCUUUGGAGACACAAAUGGGGAAUGUGACAACAACGCUGCAAGAGCUCGCUCUCCAAGUGCAGCAACAAAGCUUGAUUCUCGUAGAAUUAAGCAAACAGAUCGGAAAGAGAAGGGAGACUCAAGAGGAGGAAGCCUCUGCUGGUGACUCUGCACAGAGUGAAUCUCGCCUCGUCGGGAAGAAGGUGAAGUUGCCUCUGUUUGAUGGUGAUGAUCCUGUGGCUUGGAUUACACGGGCCGAAAUUUAUUUCGAUGUUCAGAAUACAUCGGAUGAUAUGCGUGUGAAGUUGGCUCUCCUGAGCAUGGAAGGUUCAACUAUUCACCGGUUCAACCUGUUGAUGGAGACUGAAGAUGAGUUGUCAUGGGAGAAGCUGAAGCGAGCGUUAAUUGCACGUUAUGGAGGACGUCGUCUGGAGAAUUCGUUCGAGGAACUUUCGACGUUGAGGCAGAAAGGAAGUGUGGAGGAAUUCGUCGAAGCUUUUGAGCUGUUGUCAUCACAAGUUGGAAGGCUUCCUGAAGAACAAUACCUGGGAUAUUUUAUGAGUGGAUUGAAACCUCAAAUUCGGAGGAGGGUGCGUACUCUGAAUCCUCGAAAUAGGAUGGAGAUGAUGAGAAUUGCGAAAGAUGUUGAAGAGGAAUUGGAGGAAGAUGACGAUGGUGAGCGUCGUGAGGUGAAAAAAGGGGGGUACGAGCGUGUGGGCCAGAAGGAUUGGGCCAGGUUAUUAAUGAGGAAAGGGGGAUCUCAACCCAGGGAUGCAACUCGUUCGUUUCAGUCGGGUGGGUCAAACCCGAGUCAGAAAACGGGUCCAAGUGGAUCCAACACAAAUUCAACUUCGUCUUUGGUUUCCUCAGCUCGCAAAAACGAUGGGGGUCCGCGUUCUGGCACGAUGGAGAGGUGGAAGGGAAUACGAAGUAUCCACAAUGAUGAAUUCGAAGAGAGGAGAGCAAAGGGUCUUUGUUUCAAAUGUGGGGGAAAAUACCACCCUACAUUGCAUAAAUGUCCAGAAUGAGCUCUUAGGGUUCUAAUCCUAGGAGAAGGUGAAACCAUGACAAAGGAAGGGGAAAUUGUAAGUAUGGAGGAUGUGACGGUGGAAAGUGAAGAAAAAGUGGAGGUGGAAUGUAAACUGAUGGGGGUAUUGGGAAGCAUGGGCGAGUCUCACACCAUGAAGGUUGAAGGGAAGAUACAGAAUGUGGAUUUAUUGGUGUUGAUUGAUAGUGGUGCGAGCCACAAUUUCAUUUCUCCCAAAGUGACUACUGCUUUGGGUCUUGUCAUCACACCUACAGCAGCUAAGAGUAUCAAGCUUGGUGAUGGUCAUAAGGUGAUAACAAAUGGAGUGUGUAAAGGGGUCAAUAUGAAGAUGGGGGGGGAUUGAAGUGAUUGUGGAUGCGUUGGUGUUGGAGCUAGGGGGAAUGGAUAUGGAGUUAGGAGUUGCCUGGUUAAGCACUCUUGGGAAGGUGAUUAUGGAUUGGAAGGCCAUGACUAUGCAAUUUUCUUAUGAAAAUGAGUUGGUGAAAUUGCAAGGUCAAGGCAGUAAGGUGGUCAGACAAUGUUAUUUGAACUCCUAUCUUGAGGAUACUCAUAGCAGAACUGAGCUGGGUUGGUGGUGGGUUCAUCUACAGUCAAUGGAAGCAACCAAGUCAGUGGUUCCCAAAGGCUUAAAACCUAUACUAGAAGAAUUCCAGGAAGUGUUUGGAAACAACAUUCAGCUACCUCCUGAGAGGAGUCAGGUGCAUCGGAUUAAGCUUUUAUCCUGAUCAUGGUGCCAUUAAUGUCAGACCCUACAGGUACCCUCAUUACCAAAAAGAAGAAAUUGAAAAGCAAGUGUCAGAACUGUUGAAAGCUGGAGUCAUUCGGCCGAGUAUGAGUUCAUUUUCAAGUCCUGUGUUAUUAGUCAAAAAGAAAGACAAGAGCCGGAGAAUGUGUGUAGACUACAAGGCCUUAAAUAAAGCUACAAUACCAGAUAAGUACCCAAUCCCUAUACUUGAUGAGUUGUUAGAUGAAUUAUAUGGAGCUACUAUGUUCUCUAAAAUUGAUCUAAAAUCAGGAUAUCAUCAAAUUAGAGUGCAUGAGGAUGACAUCCCUAAAACGGCGUUUAGAACACAUAACAGCCACUAUGAAUAUUUAGUAAUGCCUUUUGGACUAAUGAAUGCCCCAACUACCUUCCAAGCCACCAUGAAUGACAUUUUUCGGCCUUAUUUGAGAAAGUUUGUCUCGGUAUUCUUUGAUGAUAUUCUGAUUUACAAUAAAGAUAUCGAGGAACACCAAAUGCAUUUGAGGAUGGUUUUGUCUGUUUUAGUUGAGCAUUGUUUUGUGGCAAAUCAAGCAAAGUGUAGGUUUGGUUGUGCUCAAAUUGAUUAUCUUGACCAUAUCAUUUCUGGAGAAGGUGUGGCAGUGGACCCUGAAAAGGUGAAGUGUAUUCUUGCAUGGCCCACACCAAAGAAUGUGAAGGGGGUACGUGGUUUUUUGGGUCUCACAGGGUAUUAUAGAAAGUUUAUCCAGGAUUAUGGUAAAAUAGCAAAACCUCUCACCGAAUUGACUAAGACAAUUUUUCUUGGGGAAUAGAAGCUGUCAAGGCCUUUGAGGAGAUGAAGAGGAUCAUGACUUCUCCCCCUGUGCUAAUUCUUCCAAAUUUUUAUUUACCUUUUGAAGUUGAGUGUGAUGCGGCUGGCAGAGGUAUAGGUGUUGUUUUAAUGCAGCAGAGACGACCUAUUGCUUUCUUCAGUAAAGCUUUAUCUGAUGGGAAUCUGGCAAAAUCUGUCUAUGAGAAGGAAUUGAUGGCCCUUGUGCUUUGUAUUCAGCACUGAAGACAUUAUUUAUUGGGCAGAGAAUUUAUUGUGCACACAGAUCAUCAAAGCUUGAAGCAUUUUUUACAACAGAGAGUUUCAUCUCCAGAUCAGGUGUUGAUUGGCCAAACUGCUAGGCUAUCAAUUUGAAGUUAAGUACAAACCUGGCUUAGAGAAUAGAGCCGCUAAUGCUCUGUCCAGAUGUCAUGGUGAGGUAGAAAUGAAUUCUAUUAUUUCUUUUCCCUUGUGGGCUGAUAGACAGAAACUUUUGGAUGAAAUAACUAAUGACCCGUACAUUCAAAAGUUACUGAAAGAAGUGCAGGAGUCUCCUGAUGUUAGACCUGAGUUUCAGGUGAAACAUGGAGUUUUACUUUAUCAUGGCAGGCUGGUGAUUUCCCCCGAAUCACCCUCUAUUCCUUGGCUAUUGGAAGAAUUUCAUAGUACUCCUGCUGGAGGGCACUCAGGUUUUCUGAGAACAUACCGAAGACUGGCAGAUUCCUUAUAUUGGGUGGGGAUGCAGAGGAGUGUAAGGGAUUAUGUUAGAUCUUGUGAUGUUUGUCAGAGACAAAAAUAUAGUGUUACUACUCCUGGUGGUUUGUUACAGCCUCUACCUAUUCCUAAUGGUGUGUGGGAGGACUUGUCCUUAGACAUUAUCACUGGGUUGCCUAAGGCUAAGGGUUAUGCGGCUGUGUUAGUGGUUGUGGAUAGACUAUCUAAGUAUAGUCAUUUUGUUUUACUCAAACAUCCAUAUACUGCUAAGUCAAUUGCUGAGCUCUUUGUUAAAGAAGUGGUGAGACUUCAUGGAAUUCCAAGUUCUAUAAUCAGUGAUCCUUUAUUUGUGAGUCAUUUCUGGAUGGAGCUGUUCAAGUUACAAGGUACUAAGCUGAAAAUGAGUUCAGCAUAUCAUCCGGAAACAGAUGGUCAAACGGAGGUGGUUAACAGGUGUCUGGAAAGUUAUCUAUGGUGCUUUGCUUCUGAUCAUCCAAAGACUUGGUCAUUGUGGGUCCCUUGGGCUGAGUUUUGGUACAACACUACCUUUCAUGUGUCUAUUGGGAAGACUCCGUUCGAGGUGGUAUAUGGGAGGCAACCUCCUGCAUUGUUGAGAUUUUUGUCUAAUGAGACUAAGGUUGCUGCUGUGGCAUUGGAGUUGAGUGAAAGAGAUGAGGCUUUGAAUCAACUCAAACUCCACUUGCUCAAAGCUCAGGAACAAAUGACAAGGUAUGCUAACAAGAAGAGGAGGGACUUGUGUUUUGAAGUUGGAGAAUGGGUCUUUCUGAAACUUAGAUCCCAUAGACAACAAUCAGUGGUAAAAAGAAUUCAUCAGAAACUCGCUGCAAGAUUCUAUGGACCUUUCCAGGUGGCGGAUAAGAUUGGCGAAGUAGCUUACAGGUUGAAACUUCCAUCAGCAUCUAGAAUUCAUCCAGUUUUUCAUGUGUCAUUACUUAAGCGAGCUGUUGGGAACUAUCAGGUACAGGGAGAGUUACCUAAAGAUUUGGAAGUGACUGAGGAGACUAAUGCGUACCCAGACAAGGUGUUGGGUUCAAGAGUCAUAAUACAGGGGGGUAAUGAGGUUCAGCAGACCUUGAUACAAUGGAAAAAUAAAGCUUUAGAGGAUGUGACAUGGGAGGAUAAUGAAGUCUUGCAUUGUCAGUUUGCAGAAUUUUGCCUUGAGGACAAGGCAUUGUCUAAGGAGGUGGGAGUUGAUAGAAAUGUGAUUAGUGAAGUGGGGCCUAGGCCAAGGGUGUGGAGAGUUUAUACUAGGAAAAAGACAAAAGGAAUGAAAGAUGAUGACGUGGCUGUGAACGCAUGAGAGUGGCUAUAGAUAGCUAUUGCUGGAAGGGAAUAAUCAGGAAGGAAUUCAGUUAGGAUUUGGUGGGGUCGCCUCUAGGUGAUUUGGGAGCACUGCGUGCUUAGGAAUUGGUUGCUAUUACCAGUUUGUUAUUUUUCUUUUAUCUUCCUGUAA